rnacentral:lncRNA from 1 species
CAAAAGCAAAAGCACUGGCUGAAAAAUUUUAAAAAGUAAACGAGAGAGAAAGAAAACAGAACUAAGAUAAGGAAGGAAGAGUUGCGGUUUAUUCUGACUUCGAAGGUUCAACCACAUUGGGACGGAACACAGGCCAAAGGAGUCUAAUUGAUGGUUUCCAUGAAACACAGAGACAAAUCCAUUUCGCAAAAGAA